UACGUAGGGUGCAAGCGUUAAUCGGAAUUACUGGGCGUAAAGCGUGCGCAGGCGGUUGUGCAAGACCGAUGUGAAAUCCCCGGGCUUAACCUGGGAAUGGCAUUGGUGACUGCACGGCUAGAGUGUGUCAGAGGGGGGUAGAAUUCCACGUGUAGCAGUGAAAUGCGUAGAGAUGUGGAGGAAUACCGAUGGCGAAGGCAGCCCCUGGGAUAACACUGACGCUCAUGCACGAAAGCGUGGGGAGCAAACGGG
rnacentral:rRNA from 1 species